GGUGCAUGGUUGUCGUCAGCUCGUGUCGUGAGAUGUUGGGUUAAGUCCCCGGCAACGGAGCGCAACCCCUAUUGUUAGUUGCCAUCAUUCAGUUGGGCACUCUAGCGAGACUGCCGGUAAUAAACCGGAGGAAGGUGGGGAUGACGUCAAAUCAUCAUGCCCCUUAUGACCUGGGCUACACACGUGCUACAAUGGUUGGUACAACGAGUUGCGAGUCGGUGACGGCGAGCUAAUCUCUUAAAGCCAAUCUCAGUUCGGAUUGUAGGCUGCAACUCGCCUACAUGAAGUCGGAAUCGCUAGUAAUCGCGGAUCAGCACGCCGCGGUCGAAUACGUUCCCGGGCCUU
rnacentral:rRNA from 1 species